CGGUGAAUACGUUCCCGGGCCUUGUACACACCGCCCGUCAAGCCACGAAAGUCGGGGGUACCCGAAGUCCGUUUCUUAACCGUAAGGAUGGAGCGGCCUAAGGUAAACUCGGUGAUUGGGGCU
rnacentral:rRNA from 1 species